CAGUAGCCGCGGGGAAUACCAGCAGCCCAAGUGGUGGUCGCGUUUAUUGGGCCUAAAGCGCUCGUAGCCUGGCCGGUAAGUUCCCCGUGAAAUCGGGUCGCCCAACGAUUCGGCUCGCGGGGAAUACUGUCGGUCUUGGGGCCGGGAGACGCCGAGGGUACUCCGGGGGUAGCGGUGAAAUGCUGUAAUCCUCGGGGGACUACCAGUGGCGAAGGCGCUCGGCGAUAACGGGCCUGACGGUGAGGGGCGAAAGCUGGGGGCGCGAACGGGAUUAGAUACCCCGGUAGUCCCUGUCUCUUAU
rnacentral:rRNA from 1 species